rnacentral:rRNA from 1 species
GAUGAACGCUAGCGGCAGGCUUAAUACAUGCAAGUCGAGGGGCAGCACGAAUAGCAAUAUUUGGUGGCGACCGGCGCACGGGUGCGUAACACGUAUACAACCUACCUAUAACAGGGGGAUAGCCUUUCGAAAGAGAGAUUAAUACCCCGUAAUAAAUUGAGUGGCAUCACUUGAUUUUGAAAGCUACGGCGGUUAUAGAUGGGUAUGCGUCUGAUUAGCUAGUGGUGAGUAACGGCUCACCAAGGCGACGAUCAGUAGGGGAUCUGAGAGGACUAACCCCCANACUGGUACUGAGACACGGACCAGACUCCUACGGGAGCAGCAGUAAGGAAUAUUGGUCAAUGGAGGCAACUCUGAACCAGCCAUGCCGCGUGCAGGAUGACGGCCCUAUGGGUUGUAAACUGCUUUUGAACGGGAGAAAACCCCCCUACGUGUAGGGGCUGAUAGUACUGUUAGAAUAAGCAUCGGCUAACUUCGUGCCAGCAGCCGCGGU